rnacentral:tRNA from 1 species
GGGUCGUGUCAGUGCUGUUGGUUAGAGCGCACCCCUGAUAAGGGUGAGGUCGGUGGUUCGAGUCCACUCAGACCCACCA